UCCUUGAUUCAGCGGCGGACGGGUGAGUAAUGCCUAGGAAUCUGCCUGGUAGUGGGGGACAACGUUUCGAAAGGAACGCUAAUACCGCAUACGUCCUACGGGAGAAAGCAGGGGACCUUCGGGCCUUGCGCUAUCAGAUGAGCCUAGGUCGGAUUAGCUAGUUGGUGGGGUAAUGGCUCACCAAGGCGACGAUCCGUAACUGGUCUGAGAGGAUGAUCAGUCACACUGGAACUGAGACACGGUCCAGACUCCUACGGGAGGCAGCAGUGGGGAAUAUUGGACAAUGGGCGAAAGCCUGAUCCAGCCAUGCCGCGUGUGUGAAGAAGGUCUUCGGAUUGUAAAGCACUUUAAGUUGGGAGGAAGGGCAGUAAGCUAAUACCUUGCUGUUUUGACGUUACCGACAGAAUAAGCACCGGCUAACUCUGUGCCAGCAGCCGCGGUAAUACAGAGGGUGCAAGCGUUAAUCGGAAUUACUGGGCGUAAAGCGCGCGUAGGUGGUUUGUUAAGUUGGAUGUGAAAGCCCCGGGCUCAACCUGGGAACUGCAUCCAAAACUGGCAAGCUAGAGUACGGUAGAGGGUGGUGGAAUUUCCUGUGUAGCGG
rnacentral:rRNA from 1 species